rnacentral:tRNA from 1 species
AACCUGGUGGCUCAGAGGUUAAAGCCUCUGCUUGGCAUGCAGGAGACCUGGGUUCGAUCCCUGGGUUG